UGUGCCAGGGUACGGCCAGGGGGCCCGCAGCCCAGCGGCGUCAGCCACCUCUACAGGGAGAGGCCCUGCAGAGUCACAAAGUGGUUCGGGUUGGAAGGAAUUUAAAGAUCAACUCGUUUCACCUUCCCUGCCAUGGGCAAGGACGCUUUUUACUCGACCAGGUUGCUCAAAGCCUCAUCCAACCUGGCCUUUAACGCUUUCAGGGACGUGACAUCCACAACCCCUCUGAGCAACCUGUUCCAGAGCCUCAUCUCUCUUACACGAAAGGGUUUUCCCCUAAUAUCUAAUGUAAACCUGCUCUCUUUCCAUUUGCACCCAUUCUCUCUUUUCCUGUCACUACAUGGCCUUGUAAAUAGCCUUGCCCCAGGCUGCAGUUAGGUCAUGCUGAAGUUUUUACUCUUCCUGGUUGAACAAUCCCAUUCCUCUCAGCCUUUCCUCAUAGGAGAGGUGCUCCAUCCCUCUGAUCAACUUGUUGGUCCUCCUCUGGGUCACCACUGUUUGGUCCCAAAGCAGACAUCCUCUCUCAUGAUGUGCGUGGCUCUGUAGGCUUUCAGCACAGGUAAUACAGGUGGUCAGAAGACUGUUACUAAUAAAAAAGAGAAAUAUAAUGGCCUGGAAGUAAAUAGAAUUUUACUCCCCCACAAUUGCAGCAAAUAUUUAUGUUAUGCUCAACAACAGACAGAAGCAGAACCACACAACAUGUCAAGUUCCUGUUGCAGCAGGGAGAACCAGUGGUCCUGCAGACAAACUUCAGUAUGGAGCAUCCAUGACUGCAUGGAGUGAUGAGGCCACGUUUUCUGUGUUUUUCAUGGCCAGGCUGCUCACCUGAAUUCCAGAGGCUUGCAGCAAGUCACGCAAAGGGAAGCAGCCUCGUGAAUCCUGCUCACUGGCCCAUUUUCCCAGGGAGCACCUACCAUAUUUAAUUGUUCCCAACAGAAGCCUGUCUAACCUGUUUAAAAUCCUCCGGUGAUAGACGCUUUCAUACCGUUCCUCAGGCAAUCUCCUCUUGCACUUGUUAUAAAUAUGGAUGGAGACAAGAAGCUAGAUCUUCAGAUCUUGGAGUUUUAGCCCCAUACUAUUUCUCCCAUUUCUUGAGGACAUUGGCAAAAGAUUUAAUCCCUGAGGAGUGUAUAAAAAGAUGCUGCACAGCUGGAAGCUGCUAUGCAUCUUCUUAUUCUUUAUUAAAAAGAUUCCUUUUAUAUUUUUUCCUUACAGGUCACUUUGAACGUACAUUUCUCCUGUUCUCUUCUGAACUUCAGCUGCUUUACAUUUUUUUGGUAACAUAAUGUCCAGUACUAGACCCCACAUUCGCCCUGUCAGUGUGAAACUGAUUGAGAAGGUUAUGUGAUAUGCUGGAAUUUGCAUCUGUUUCUACAUGACACAAACACUUGCCGUCUUUUUUUCUUUUGCAAGUGUCACAUUGUUGCUGCACCGAUAGGUCAUGAUCUAUUCCACCUCAGAGGCUUUUUCAAAUCACUGCUGCCUAGCCAGUCUUUUCCCAUCUCAGAUUGUAUUGAAGAGUAAUGACCUUUCUGAAUAUAUGCUAAACAUCUCAUCACCAAGGCAGCAGAUCCUCUCCUCCAAGCAUCAGUAUCAACUCCUUGAGCAGUGCUGAAGCAGUUGUUUGUAGGCCUACACCAUCAGCUGUGUCAGUGAAACAACUCAGUCUAACAAAAAACAAAGAGUGGGGGAGGGAAGGACAAAGACUUUUUUGUGCUCCUUUUUAAUUCAGAUAAUUUUGUUGAUCUGAUUUACAGAGCAACCCUGCAAAACCAGUUUCUUGUGUAUGAGGUCACUGAACAUCAUCAGUCAAGCUGUCUCUACUACCUUCUUCUCCUUCCUACACACCACGAUAAUUUCCAUCUGUGCUCACAAUGCUGUGGAACUCCUCUGAGCUACUUUGCUCUUAUGCUCAAUUUUUCUCUUCUACUACCAAUUGUUGGAGCAAAGUCUUCUUUGAGGCCACUGGUUUUGGUCUUCCAUUCUCUUUUUCUCUCUUGCAAAAGUUUUGAAAAAACAUUGCAACAGUAAACAUUAGAUAUUUUCCUCCUAAUUUGAAGUAAACAAUUUUUUUUUUCCAGACUUCUAAAAUUAUUCAGUGACAGGAGGCUGUAAGAAGUCUGCAGAUUUGCAGAGGGAUCCUGACAUAGCUUGCAGGGCUGGCCGGGAUCCUCAGCCUGCUUUCUUUAUCCCUUUGCUUCAGAUGUUUCUCUCACUUACGCACUCUCCCUCUCCAUGUUAUCUCCCAGAAAACAUGGCAAUUUAGAAACCUAUGAUUCUAACUCAACCAUUUGUUAAGAAUUGGGACUGCACAAGCCUCCUUGGACCGUAUGUAUUUGAUAAGACCUUCAUUGCGUAGUUAGGCAGAGGCUUGGCAAGCACAAGCUUGCAUGCAAUGCUGAGUGCCCUGUCUCCUCUUGAUGACUGAAACAUUACUCCAAAUUGGGCAGACCUACCCUGUUUAUCAAUCCACAACUCUCAAGAUUUCACCUGCUCUUUCAAUGUCAGCUGUGUUUCUUUAAAACACACUGCUGCAGUAAGACAACUCAUGUAAAUUGCAGCUUACACAAGACAGAAAUAAGGGUUUAAGAAUUACAGAAGGACAAGAAAUGAGCAGAGGGCUAUCAAAACGUGGCAAACCUAGGGUUUUUUUUCCUCUUUUUGUUUGCAUUAAAUAUGACUAUGGUAGCUUCAAGUAGUUUUUUCUUGGGAGAGGUCUGUUUGACAAGCUGAAGAAUUCUGUAUGCAGUUUCACUCUAGCUCUCUGAACGAAAAGAGAACAAAAUUCAAAGUCUCUAAGCCAGUUUCCAUUCCAGCCUUUGAACUAACAGCUCUAAAGAAUCUCUUGAGGAAAGGAAAUGAAGGUGCCAUUGAAGAAGUAUAGCCGAGGUCAAAGUUUUUUGAUUUCCACUGGAGUUCAGGCUCUUCCUUCUGUAUUUACUGCAGCUACCACUUCUCGCACUGAACUUGAAACACAGCUAUGAAAAGACCAAUAAAUGUGUAGUUUUGUCAAUUCAGAGAGACCAAACAAGGCAAAGUAGAGGAAGAGCACAUUUUCUCUGGUGACACUAAGUAAUAACCAAUGCUGCGUUAGAAUACUCUACAAUAAAAGUGGGCAUCCAGUAAAUUAAAACUUCAGGAGUUAAAUGUCAGAGUUCUCUUGUUGAGGGCUCUGCAGUAUCUCACAGCUUUUGUUGUAGUUACAACAGAUUUUGUUGUAAUCAAAAUUCAUUUUGAUUACAGCAAUUAAAGAUUUGAAACUUUCUUCAAGAGCUGCAGAAAAAUAAUUUAAAGGCUGGUAAGAAAUUAAAAGUGAAAAUAUCCAGAAAAUGCAAGCUAAUCUCUACUAGAGAAGUUAAAACCUGGAAUGCAGCUAUGCUAAAAGAAACAAGGAUAGAUGUUUUGCCCAGAGGAUGAUAAAUGUGGGAGCAAUUAGCAAUGUUGAGCAUCAGAUUGCAUAGAAAGAAAUAAAAACCUGUCUCCAUUUGAAACUGUCAUUAAAAACACUGCAUUCUGGUUCAGCCACUUUGUUUCAAACUGAAGACAGUUGCAUGAAAAUCACUCAGGAAAUAAUGAAUUAUCCAGGAACAGGAAUGGGGCCACCUCCCAGGAAAAAAAAAAAAAAUCCCAAAUUCAAGGUAUAUAUUAUGAAGCUAAAAAUAGCUCCAGAGGCAUGACAACACUUUGGAAGUGUCUGAGGAUGUAACUUUUAGGGAUGGAAGGUGAAGGAUUUGGAGCACAAGAAGAGGUGCCACCUGAGCAAAUGUGACCAGAGCUGACAGAGCGACCAGCACGACCCAUUCCUCACAGCAAGGGAGUGUCGAUAGGAGAUCAAGUCCUGUGAUUUGACAGGUGCCACUGGACAGGACAUCUGGAACUGGCUGUGUAAUUUUGUGACAAAGCACCAGAAUGUUAACUGUGAGGAAGCCUUUUGCUGCAACAAGAGGAAGUGGAUGGCUGGAUAGAACCCCUGUUCUUUUCUGUCUGCAGUCCUCAGUGUUAGACUGAAUUGUAAAAUUCUCUAGCCACUUUUCCCUCAAGUAUGUUGUGAAUAUAAAACCGGAGUCUAAUACUUUAAAUACUCCUUGCAUUUUACUUAAGUAAGGUCAUUAUAAAGAGAAAAUAUGCAUAUGCUCUAAUUAGCUGAAACUGCUCACAGGCAAAAGCCUUCAGUUCCUUGAUGUUAUUCUCUGUACUCCACUGACUUGAGCUGCCUACAGAACUCCUUGGGGGUCAGCUCAAUGCCUGGUCCCACACCCAUGUGCUUCUGUUCAGUGCAUUUCGAUGAUCUGUCAGUGCUCAUGCAGGGUACCCAGAAGUACUUUUCUUCUUUCAGCUUAAAUACUGUCUGUUCACAGACAAGACUAUUGGAUUAUCCAGUUUACACACUGGAAAAAACAUAGCUGCUCAUUUUUGGUUACAUUUACAAAUCACAGCUGAACUACGCACAUAUAACUGUUCACAGAAGCCUUGUAGCUAUCUUUGCAGUGGUAAUAUAUUCCAUCUUUUGACCUCCAAAAACUUCUUUUAUCUCAGUACAAUCUUGACCUGCUCUGGUGGGAGGUCAGCUAUCUACAGCACCUGUUUCCAUUUGGUUAAGGGUUAGGAAGGAUGGUCCUUCAUAAAACUCUCAUCUUAAUCCCAGAAACUACAGCAUCUCAGUGCAAAUCUCCCUCUCUCUUUCUGUAAGCAGAGCACAUAGUUAUUUCUUCUGUUCCUAUAAAAGUUUUACAACCCUUAUGCCAUCAUAACUUCCCUGGAAGCCACCUUCUCUCUCUAAAGUUUGUUGCAAAUGAGUGGUCUGGGCUGCUUAUGGAAUUGCUGGCAAAGGUAUCAGCAAAAGCAAGAUACAUAUAUAUCUUAUAACUGUGUAUAUAUCAUAUAAAUUUGCAAAACCACAAUGAAGUUUGAUGGCAAGGUUCACUCUACCACUGUUACUCAGAUAAAGCACACAAAGUAAAAUCAUAUUAGAACCAGUCUAGAAUGAUUUAUUUGUAGAUGGGGAUCCAAAAGUGUAAAGCUGUAAAAUUCAGACACAAAUGCUUUCAAAACAAACAAAAGGGCAAGUGUGCCAAAGGACAAAGGAGCCCCUUUUGGUGUUAAAAGAGGUUCAGAGCAGACCCCCUUGCCAAACUCAGUGUCAGACUUGAUCAAUGGUGUAUAUCCAAGGAAUGUAGCACAACCUAAUCAUUGACUAAUUUAACGUUUACUAAACGAUCCAAUAGGGUUUGCUUUAAGCACAACAAUAACUUAAUUACAAAUCUAAUCUAACUACGAACGUGGGACGGGAACACUCGUAGUAUGUUUGCUGUACCGCAUGCCAAUCGAUUCACACGUGCACACACACAGACACAAAGAAGCAUGUACAAAGGUAUACCUGUAAAAAAUUCCCCAGGAGCCCAGUGAAGUACUCACAUCAGAUGCCUCUGCAUCUCUCAACAGCUGAGCCUUGAGAAGAGGGGGAGGUAUCAGCCCCAGCUCUGUCAUCAAUAGUUCUCUGAGUUGCUGAGCUCCAGAGAAGUCCCGCUCAGAGGGAGAUGAGCUGCAGCCCAGGGGAUCCCAGUGGGUCUCACUUAGUGCCACUCUCUACAGGGUUGGAAGAUGAUUGACUCUGGUCAUCAGUAAAUUUCCACUGUGGCCACAGCCCAGGCCAGUAGUUACUGGAAUUGUCCUUGAGAAGUCUAAUAAUAAUAUUAUUCUACUUAGGCUGUUACUCAGACAAAAAUAAGUUUUCAAGGCUGUUUGUUAGAAAACAGGAGCUCGCUAGGCAGCAGAAGUUCCUGGGAGCAGACAGUUUUUCUGAUAAGCUCAGGGAGCUGACUGCCCAUGUGCCAGUAAUCAAGGCUGAGGCCUAAGGAAUGGCCCUGAGAUCAUGAAGAAGCCAGAGGGGGUUAAGGAGCCAGAUCUUGCAUCACCACAAUGCUACAUCCUCAGGAAUUAUCAGAGAUUGAAGGGCAGGGAGAUCCUGAUAAGGAACUGUGGAGAAGAGUGAAGGGAUGAAUGUGAAAAUAGUAAUUGCUGCCAAAAGCAAGACUGGGGAUGUACACACAGCUAGACUAAACACAGCGAGGGGCACUGUUGUAUCUGGCCUCUUACUUGAACAAGAUUGUCUCUAGAUUUCCCUCUGGCUUUCCUUCCAGUUUUUGGAAGCCAUCAAGGUGGUGUCCAGAGCUCACUCCUUCUGUCUCCAUCAUCCACUUGUGUUCUCUUCCGAUUUAUGUCCUCUUUGCAUUAUCUCGGAUGCAUCUGAAAGUGCUGGAUGUACAGAGCACAUGACCUCACACUUACCUGCAUUUUACUGACAGCCAAGAAGGGAGAGGACAUCUCCUCAGUUUGAU